CCCUUAGAUGUUCUGGGCUGCACGCGCGCUACACUGAAGCGUUCAACGAGUAUUCACCUUGCCCGGGAGGGUUGGGUAAUCUUUUGAAAACGCUUCGUGAUGGGGAUAGAUUAUUGCAAUUAUUAAUCUUCAACGAGGAAUUCCUAGUAAGCGCGAGUCAUCAGCUCGUGCUGAUUACGUCCCUGCCCUUUGUACACACCGCCCGUCGCUACUACAGAGUGCCCGUGUCCAAGAAACGGUCGGACCUGUGCGGCCUCUCCGGGCGACCGGAGGGCCGUUACGGGGAAGACCCUUUAUUUGACGCGGGUCGAUGAAGUAAAAGUCGUAACA
rnacentral:rRNA from 1 species